rnacentral:tRNA from 1 species
GAGGUAGCUCAGUGGUAGAGCAUCUGUUGAGCAUGCAUGAGGUCCUGGGUUCCAUCCCCAGCAACACA